AUGCAAGUCGAGCGAACGGACGAGAAGCUUGCUUCUCUGAUGUUAGCGGCGGACGGGUGAGUAACACGUGGAUAACCUACCUAUAAGACUGGGAUAACUUCGGGAAACCGGAGCUAAUACCGGAUAAUAUUUUGAACCGCAUGGUUCAAAAGUGAAAGACGGUCUUGCUGUCACUUAUAGAUGGAUCCGCGCUGCAUUAGCUAGUUGGUAAGGUAACGGCUUACCAAGGCAACGAUGCAUAGCCGACCUGAGAGGGUGAUCGGCCACACUGGAACUGAGACACGGUCCAGACUCCUACGGGAGGCAGCAGUAGGGAAUCUUCCGCAUUGGGCGAAAGCCUGACGGAGCAACGCCGCGUGAGUGAUGAAGGUCUUCGGAUCGUAAAACUCUGUUAUUAGGGAAGAACAUAUGUGUAAGUAACUGUGCACAUCUUGACGGUACCUAAUCAGAAAGCCACGGCUAACUACGUGCCAGCAGCCGCGGUAAUACGUAGGUGGCAAGCGUUAUCCGGAAUUAUUGGGCGUAAAGCGCGCGUAGGCGGUUUUUUAAGUCUGAUGUGAAAGCCCACGGCUCAACCGUGGAGGGUCAUUGGAAACUGGAAAACUUGAGUGCAGAAGAGGAAAGUGGAAUUCCAUGUGUAGCGGUGAGAUGCGCAGAGAUAUGGAGGAACACCAGUGGCGAAGGCGACUUUCUGGUCUGUAACUGACGCUGAUGUGCGAAAG
rnacentral:rRNA from 1 species